GACCCCAGUAUGUACACCACUGGUAUGCAGCGUUUCUACUUGAUAGUUGAGCUCCAGGCACAAGUGUCUCCAUUCAGAGAUACUUAUUGUAAAAAUUGUCUGAUGUCCACACGCACUGGCGACAGAUGUAAUCAUCUUUCACCCUUGCAGACAGCGCAGCCUCUUCCCUCCCCAGAAGCUAGUGGAGUGCAUUUUUCAUUAGCUGUACUUUAACUUGUCACUCUCAGCCAGUGAGCUAAGCCUUGCAAUGCUGGACUUGGCUCAAUGGAGAGAGCCUUCAGCUCUUGUGGAGUAGGUGAUUGGUGCCCAGUGAAUCACAGGUAAGCUGGCAAACUGUUUGACAUGUUAUAUGGUUCACGACAUUCCUAGCUCCUCAACUACUUCCAUAUACAGGCUGCAAUGCUUACUACUGGAGAAAGCUGAUGUUUGAAUUACAAUUCCUUGAAACCCUUUCUGUGCCCAUUAACAUUGAAAGUAUCCGUGUCUUCCUGGAAUGGAAAUUGAGUCAGUGAGGUGUGGACACGACCUUAACUGAAAUUACUGACAGAGCUAUCCUCCCCCACGUGCUUGCUGUGUACUGCAUGAUAGUUGUGUCAGAUGAAAGAUCGUUCAGGAACAGCUUAACAUUCGGUGCAGAUAUGAGAUGAAUAAUUCCCGAUGUUGGGCAGUGAACAAGAAUAUGGGCUUUGAGAAUCAUGAGAACAUGUCAUCUAACGUACGUGCAUGCGCAGGCAGGGCCUUUUGUGAAGUUCAUGGUUCCCCUCGGCCAGACGUGCA